rnacentral:rRNA from 1 species
UCUGGUGACCUUAGAGACGUGGCCCCACCCGUUCCCAUCUCGAACACGGAAGUGAAACAUGUCAUCGCCAAUGGUAGUGGGACGAUAGGUCCUGUGAGAGUAGGUCGUUGCCAGGU